ensembl:lncRNA
GACUGCUUGGGUUCAGUUAGCAAUUCUGCCGCUUCCCAGCUGUGUGCCUUUCAGCAUGUUGCUGUUUCUUUCUGUGCCUCAUAUCCACAUUUGUAUAAUGGAUAAUAAUAGUUGGCAGCUACCUCAAACAGGCAAUAUUAAAUAAAUCAAUAUAAAGCAUUUAGAAGUUCUCUAGAUAUAAUAAGCACUAGAGAAUAUUAGCAUUCUUAUAUUUUAAACCCUCACAGUGAUGUUAGCUGAGAGACUCAUUUUCAGUUUUAAAGGAUUCAACAACUUUGUGCUGGUGGAAGAAACUUCAGGGAAGGAAACUACAGAAGCAGACCCUGGUGAUGGAACUUUGCAUUAACAGUCCGUAUUUGGAAAUAAUUGUGGUCUUCUGGUGAUCUUUUUACCAUUUUAUUCUUUUAUGAUGUUAUCUGUUUCUUUGGAAAAUUCAUUUAUAAGUCAGUGUUACUUUAAUCUGUUCUUAAUAAUAAUCAAAAUUAUUUAUUAGGGUGGCAGUGCAGGUCUUUACUAAAACAUAUGGUACUUGAGAACAAGAUUCUCAUCAUUUGGUCUGAAGAGUCUCUGUUGUAAUGUGCCCAACUGCCUUGAGUCUCUUCCUUUCUCAUGCGCAGGCCCUGACCCCAGCCAGCCAGUCUGAAUGCCCCACUUUGCUCUUCCUAUAGUCUAUGUGCAUUUUAAUCAUACCUUUCCUUCUAUAAGAAAACUAUUAUUUUAAGAAUGUUGGCCGGGCGUGGUGGCUCAUGCCUGUAAUCCCAGCACUUUGGGAUUACAGGCUUGAGCCACCGCGCCCGGCCAUUUUUCUAAGGAGUUUUAAAGAGCUCUAUUUCCAGAUCCUCAAAUUUCCCAUGAACUCUUUUGUAAAAAGUGUUUUUCCUGGGAAAGUGUCUGUUCCCAAUCACUUCUGCUUUCCCACCACCUCAUAGUAGUUCUUCUAUGUCAUUUAAGAAAAGUAGACCUCUCACUCAGAAGCAGUGACGUAAUUUGCAGGAAAUAGUACAAAAUGAAAAUGUGGGGCCAUUUGUUCCAAAAUUAUUCAGAAUUUCAAGACAGCAUGAGCAGUGCAUUAAAGUAAGAGCGACGCCCUUCUGAGCUGGGGAUUCUUUGAGAAGGCUGGGAUAGCCUACCCUGCUGCCACCCCUGUAAAAUCCCAUCACAGGCCGGGCGCGGUGGCUCACGCCUGUAAUCCCAGCACUUUGGGAGGCCGAGGCAGGUGGAUCACGAGGUCAAGAGAUCGAGACCAUCCUGGUCAUCAUGGUGAAAUCCCGUCUCUACUAAAAAUACAAAAAAUUAGCUGGGCAUGGUGGUGCGUGCCUGUGAUCCCAGAUACUCGGGAGGCUGAGGCAGGAGAAUUGCCUGAACCCAGGAGGCGGAGGUUGCGGUGAGCCGAGAUCGCGCCAUUGCACUCCAGCCUGGGUAACAAGAGCGAAACUCCGUCUCAAAAAAAAAAAAAAAAAAAAAAGAAAAUCUCAUCACAGCAUAUUCUCACAGGGGCAGUGCAAAAGUACCUGGGGAACAGAUGAAAGGAAAAGUCAGUCUAUUGGAUUGAUAUUGAGAAAGUGACAAGUACUUUUACAAGUCUGGUGUUCUCCCAUUUGUUGUUGCUUUCAGCUGAACUAAAAGAGGACGAAAUCAAGUUAUCAGACGACAGAUGAUAAAAAAUAA